GACGAACGCUGGCGGCGUGCUUAACACAUGCAAGUCGAACGGAAAGGCCCUGCUUUUGUGGGGUGCUCGAGUGGCGAACGGGUGAGUAACACGUGAGUAACCUGCCCUUGCCUUUGGGAUAACUUCAGGAAACUGGGGCUAAUACCGGAUAGGAGCUCCUGCUGCAUGGUGGGGGUUGGAAAGUUUCGGCGGUUGGGGAUGGACUCGCGGCUUAUCAGCUUGUUGGUGGGGUAGUGGCUUACCAAGGCUUUGACGGGUAGCCUGCCUGAGAGGGUGGCCAGCCAAAUUGGGACUGAGAUACGGCCCAGACUCCUACGGGAGGCAGCAGUGGGGAAUAUUGCACAAUGGGCGGAAGCCUGAUGCAGCAACGCCGCGUGCGGGAUGACGGCCUUCGGGUUGUAAACCGCUUUCGCCUGUGACGAAGCGUGAGUGACGGUAAUGGGUAAAGAAGCACCGGCUAACUACGUG
rnacentral:rRNA from 1 species